ACGGGAGGCAGCAGUGGGGAAUAUUGGGCAAUGGGCGCAAGCCUGACCCAGCAACGCCGCGUGAAGGAAGAAGGUUUUCGGAUUGUAAACUUCUGUCCUUGGUGACGAAGGAAGUGACGGUAGCCAAGGAGGAAGCCCCGGCUAACUACGUGCCAGCAGCCGCGGUAAUACGUAGGGGGCAAGCGUUGUCCGGAAUGAUUGGGCGUAAAGGGCGCGUAGGCGGCUCGGUAAGUCUGAAGUGAAAGUCCUGGCUUCAAGUUGGGAAUUGCUUUGGAUACUGUCGAGCUUGAGUGCAGGAGAGGUAAGUGGAAUUCCCAGUGUAGCGGUGAAAUGCGUAGAGAUUGGGAGGAACACCAGUGGCGAAGGCGACUUACUGGACUGUAACUGACGCUGAGGCGCGAAAGUGUGGGGAGCAAACAGGAUUAGAUACCCUGGUA
rnacentral:rRNA from 1 species